rnacentral:lncRNA from 1 species
CAGGGCCAGUAGGUGUGGGAUUUAGGGCCAUCCAGCAUUUUCUGAAUGACUUUAUUUUCCUGUUACUCCUUACAGAUGCCGCUACUAUGCUGAGGUUGGCAUCAGUGCCAUCUGUAACCUUGUGAAUGGGCCAGUACAUAUGCCAGGCGGGACUUGGUCCCUACUGUGACUGCUGCCUCUGUGGCUGGCUGGGCUUCCCGCGAUGGACAUUCUGAGUUGUGCCGUCCGCUUACAGAUGUCUGCCAGGCCUGCCGUGGAGCCACUGCAGGUUAGCUCUGUGGGAGAUAUGAAGAAUUCAUCAGCACUUAACUUAUAAAGCCAUUCACCCAAAAAGUGGAACGGAAGAGACUGCAAGUCAUCUCCUCGGGUCUCGACUUCUACUGUCUGGAGGGGUCCACAGUCCCAGUGUCUAUCAUGUAAGCAAACAUGACCAUGGCACACUGCUUGAACGCUUCCUCCAUAGUCUCCCCCAUGCAUGUAACUGGACAUCUGCUAUAUGAUCCAAAUAUUUGUACUUCCAAAUGACUGGAGGAUACUUGGCCUUGAUUGCUUUUUGGUCCUCAGUUAAAUUGUAGUCUCUAACAUCUUUUUCCUGCACCAUGAUUUCCCCCAAUACAAUUGUAUUAGUGCUUAUUUCAUUUUUCCUGCCUGUUAAUAUUUGUUUUAUCAGGACUGGUAAUAUAGCUCAAUGGCACAGCACCUGCCUGGCCUGAGUUCAAUUUUUGGUACCAAAAAAAAUUUGUUUGAUAUAGUUGGG